rnacentral:rRNA from 1 species
GAUGAACGCUAGCGAUAGGCUUAACACAUGCAAGUCGAGGGGCAGCAUGGUCUUAGCUUGCUAAGACUGAUGGCGACCGGCGCACGGGUGCGUAACGCGUAUGCAACUUGCCUCACAGAGGGGGAUAACCCGUCGAAAGACGGACUAAUACCGCGUACACUUGGGAUAGGGCAUCCUGACCCAAGGAAAUGAAAUUCGCUGUGAGAUAGGCAUGCGUCCCAUUAGCUAGUUGGUGAGGUAACGGCUCACCAAGGCGACGAUGGGUAGGGGAACUGAGAGGUUGAACCCCCACACUGGUACUGAGACACGGACCAGACUCCUACGGGAGGCAGCAGUGAGGAAUAUUGGUCAAUGGGCGAGAGCCUGAACCAGCCAAGUCGCGUGAAGGAUGACUGUCUUAUGGAUUGUAAACUUCUUUUAUACGGGAAUAACAAGAGCCACGUGUGGCUCCCUGCACGUACCGUAUGAAUAAGCAUCGGCUAACUCCGUG